AAUGAACGCUGGCGGCAGGCCUAACACAUGCAGGUCGAACGGAUCCUUCGGGAUUAGUGGCGGACGGGUGAGUAACGCGUGGGAACAUACCCUUUGGUACGGAAUAGCCUCGGGAAACUGGGAGUAAUACCGUAUGUGGUCGAGAGACGAAAGAUUUAUCGCCAAAGGAUUGGCCCGCGUUGGAUUAGGUAGUUGGUGGGGUAAUGGCCUACCAAGCCGACGAUCCAUAGCUGGUUUGAGAGGAUGAUCAGCCACACUGGGACUGAGACACGGCCCAGACUCCGACGGGAGGCAGCAGUGGGGAAUUUUAGACAAUGGGGGAAACCCUGAUCUAGCCAUGCCGCGUGAUCGGUGAAGGCCUUAGGGUUGUAAAGAGCUUUCAGGUGGGAAGAUAAUGACUGUACCACCAGAAGAAGCCCCGGCUAACUCCGUGCCAGCAGCCGCAGUAA
rnacentral:rRNA from 1 species